rnacentral:rRNA from 1 species
ACUCCUACGGAAGGCAGCAGUGGGGAAUAUUGGACAAUGGGCGAAAGCCUGAUCCAGCCAUGCCGCGUGAGUGAUGAAGGUCUUCGGAUCGUAAAGCUCUGUGGGAAGGGACGAAAAAGCCUAACCUAAUACGUUAGGUCUUGACGGUACCUUCUUAGCAAGCACCGGCUAACUCCGUGCCAGCAGCCGCGGUAAU